rnacentral:rRNA from 1 species
GUCGAGCGGAAGAUGGGAGCUUGCUCCCUGAUGUUAGCGGCGGACGGGUGAGUAACACGUGGGUAACCUGCCUGUAAGACUGGGAUAACUCCGGGAAACCGGGGCUAAUACCGGAUGGUUGUUUGAACCGCAUGGUUCAAACAUAAAAGGUGGCUUCGGCUACCACUUACAGAUGGACCCGCGGCGCAUUAGCUAGUUGGUGAGGUAACGGCUCACCAAGGCAACGAUGCGUAGCCGACCUGAGAGGGUGAUCGGCCACACUGGGACUGAGACACGGCCCAGACUCCUACGGGAGGCAGCAGUAGGGAAUCUUCCGCAAUGGACGAAAGUCUGACGGAGCAACGCCGCGUGAGUGAUGAAGGUUUUCGGAUCGUAAAGCUCUGUUGUUAGGGAAGAACAAGUACCGUUCGAAUAGGGCGGUACCUUGACGGUACCUAACCAGAAAGCCACGGCUAACUACGUGCCAGCAGCCGCGGUAAUACGUAGGUGGCAAGCGUUGUCCGGAAUUAUUGGGCGUAAAGGGCUCGCAGGCGGUUUCUUAAGUCUGAUGUGAAAGCCCCCGGCUCAACCGGGGAGGGUCAUUGGAAACUGGGGAACUUGAGUGCAGAAGAGGAGAGUGGAAUUCCACGUGUAGCGGUGAAAUGCGUAGAGAUGUGGAGGAACACCAGUGGCGAAGGCGACUCUCUGGUCUGUAACUGACGCUGAGGAGCG